UACGAGUACCCCAAGCGUUAUCCGGAAUCAUUGGGCGUAAAGGGUGCGUAGGUGGGAAUGUAAGUCAGUGGUGAAAUCUCUGAGCUUAACUCAGAAACUGCCAUUGAUACUAUGUUUCUUGAAUUUUCUGGAGGUCAGCGGAAUAUGUCAUGUAGCGGUGAAAUGCUUAGAUAUGACAUAGAACACCAAUUGCGAAGGCAGCUGGCUACAGGGAUAUUGACACUGAGGCACGAAAGCGUGGGGAUCAAACAGG
rnacentral:rRNA from 1 species